rnacentral:rRNA from 1 species
UACGUAGGGUGCGAGCGUUGUCCGGAAUUAUUGGGCGUAAAGAGCUUGUAGGCGGUUUGUCGCGUCUGCUGUGAAAAUCCGGGGCUCAACCCCGGACUUGCAGUGGGUACGGGCAGACUAGAGUGUGGUAGGGGAGACUGGAAUUCCUGGUGUAGCGGUGAAAUGCGCAGAUAUCAGGAGGAACACCGAUGGCGAAGGCAGGUCUCUGGGCCACUACUGACGCUGAGAAGCGAAAGCAUGGGGAGCGAACAGGAUUAGAUA